UUAUUUUUUAACGUUCCUCUUAAUUUUAAUGAAAGUUAGAAAUACGCUAAAUCUUUUCCAAAGGCAUUUGAUUGCUGUAUUCACAAUGAAGAUAUCCUUGCAAAUUCCCCUUAGGACUGGCUUCACUGUAGCCCUUGGCUGAUGGUAAUCCCGGCUGCAUCGCCACACUCUGCCCCUUGUUUGAAUCCAGCGACGCUCGCCGGAGGACGAUUGUCAUGCCAGAAUGCGCACUUCCGCGUCCGCAUUUAGUUAGUUGUUGUGUCUCCGGAAUUCCGAAAUCGCGCUGCGCUGCACACACAGGACUCGCCGAGACAGCGGCGCAAAUCCAAUACAAAUAAAAUUAAGUAAAAAUGCA